rnacentral:rRNA from 1 species
GAUGAACGCUAGCGGCAUGCCUUACACAUGCAAGUCGAACGGUAACGGGUUAAGCCGACGAGUGGCGAACGGGUGAGUAAUAUAUCGGAACGUGCCCAGUCGUGGGGGAUAACGUAGAGAAAUUUACGCUAAUACCGCAUACGAUCCAAGGAUGAAAGCGGGGGACCUUCGGGCCUCGUGCGACUGGAGCGGCUGAUAUCAGAUUAGGUUGUUGGUGAGGUAAAAGCUCACCAAGCCGACGAUCUGUAGCUGGUUUGAGAGAACGACCAGCCACACUGGGACUGAGACACGGCCCAGACUCCUACGGGAGGCAGCAGUGGGGAAUUUUGGACAAUGGGCGAAAGCCUGAUCCAGCAAUGCCGCGUGCAGGAUGAAGCAUCUAUGGUGUGUAAACUGCUUUUGUACGGGAAGAAACCCUUGCUUGAGAGCAAGAUUGACGGUACCGUAAGAAUAAGGAUCGGCUAACUCCGUG